rnacentral:rRNA from 1 species
CACGUAGGGCGCAAGCGUUUGUCCGGAAUUAUUGGGCGUAAAGAGCUCGUAGGCGGUCUGUUGCGUCCGCUGUGAAAACUCGGGGCUUAACCCCGAGCCUGCAGUGGAUACGGGCAGACUAGAGGUAGGUAGGGGAGAAUGGAAUUCCCGGUGUAGCGGUGAAAUGCGCAGAUAUCGGGAGGAACACCGGUGGCGAAGGCGACUAUCUGGGGUGCAACUGACGCUGAGGCGCGAAGGCUAGGGUAGCAAACAGG